rnacentral:rRNA from 1 species
CUACGGGGGGCUCCAGUGGGGAAUAUUGGACAAUGGGGGAAACCCUGAUCCAGCAAUGCCGCGUGUGUGAAGAAGGCCUGCGGGUUGUAAAGCACUUUCGGUUGGGAGGACUGCUUCUAGCACUAAUAUUGUUGGAAGUUGACGUUACCUUCAGAAGAAGCACCGGCUAACUCCGUGCCAGCAGCCGCGGUAAUACGGAGGGUGCAAGCGUUAAUCGGAAUUACUGGGCGUAAAGCGCGCGUAGGCGGCUAGAUCAGUCGGGUGUGAAAGCCCCGGGCUUAACCUGGGAACUGCAUCCGAUACUGUCUAGCUUGAGUACAGGAGAGGAGAGUGGAAUUCCACAUGUAGCGGUGAAAUGCGUAGAUAUGUGGAGGAACACCAAUGGCGAAGGCAGCUCUCUGGCCCGAUACUGACGCUGAGGUGCGAACGCGUGGGGAGCAAACAGGAUUAGAUACCCUCGUAGUC